UACGUAGGGCGCGAGCGUUGUCCGGAAUUAUUGGGCGUAAAGAGCUCGUAGGCGGUUCGUCGCGUCGGCUGUGAAAACCCGGAGCUCAACUCCGGGCCUGCAGUCGAUACGGGCGGACUUGAGUGUUGCAGGGGAGACUGGAAUUCCUGGUGUAGCGGUGAAAUGCGCAGAUAUCAGGAGGAACACCGGUGGCGAAGGCGGGUCUCUGGGCAACUACUGACGCUGAGGAGCGAAAGCGUGGGGAGCGAACAGG
rnacentral:rRNA from 1 species